GAUGAACGCUAGCUACAGGCUUAACACAUGCAAGUCGAGGGGAAACGAUAGAGAAAGCUUGCUUUUUCUAGGCGUCGACCGGCGCACGGGUGAGUAACGCGUAUCCAACCUGUCCACCACUUGGGGAUAACCUUGCGAAAGUAAGACUAAUACCCAAUGACAUCUCUAGAAGACAUCUGAAGGAGAUUAAAGAUUUAUCGGUGAUGGAUGGGGAUGCGUCUGAUUAGCUUGUUGGCGGGGUAACGGCCCACCAAAGCGACGAUCAGUAGGGGUUCUGAGAGGAAGGUCCCCCACAUUGGAACUGAGACACGGUCCAAACUCCUACGGGAGGCAGCAGUGAGGAAUAUUGGUCAAUGGGUGAGAGCCUGAACCAGCCAAGUAGCGUGCAGGAUGACGGCCCUAUGGGUUGUAAACUGCUUUUAUAAGGGAAUAAAGUGAGCCUCGUGAGGCUUUUUGCAUGUACCUUAUGAAUAAGGACCGGCUAAUUCCGUGCCAGCCGCCGCCGUAA
rnacentral:rRNA from 1 species